rnacentral:lncRNA from 1 species
CUGGGUCGUGCCUCAGCCGCCGGCCAACGUGUGGACCACGUUGGCCAAGUCUUCAGAUCAAGAUCAAUUAUGUUUAUCUACCACCUCUGCAGCCAACCCUUUCCUUUCCUGCCUCGUGGGGAUCCCAUAUCCAUUAGGUAACCUCCCUUUCACCUUCCCCGUGAACUUCUCCUUACCCCGAAACCGGACCGGGAUUUUCAGUGUCCAGAUUUUAAAGAAAUCGGACACUUGGAGAUCCUGGGUCCGUCAAUUUGCAAUCACUGAAAACGAACCACAAGAAUUACAGCUCCUUGGUUCCUCCCUUGCCUAUACCUAUGUUCAUUUCGUAGUAUCCACAUCCAAUCCCUUUGCCCAGCCCUAUGAAGAGGUAAAACAAUCAAUCAAAGAAUAUGCAGCUAAGCAAUGGUGCACCAAGCUAAUCCAAAUCCCCGGUUUCCCCACCCCCGAUGAUCAACCCCAGCAACUUCCUAAGGGCACCUUUCUGAUUUGUGGUAAUAGGGCUUGGGCAGGCAUCCCCUCUCGCCUAAUAGGAGGGCCAUGUACUUUCAGGCAGUUGAGCCUUUUCGCACCUAACAAAACUCAAAUUGCUCAUUGGCAAGACCAAAAUCGGACAGGUCAAUUGGUACGUACCAAAAUAGACACAUCAUUUGCUGAUUUGGAUUCAAAUUGUGAUGAUGAAGUUGUUCAUUGGGCUAAACCAAAAGGCAUGGCUACUAUUGCCUUUUUACCCUGGGUAGCCAUCGCCCAUGACUUCAGGGAAUUGGCCAGCCUGGAGUGUUGGGUGUCUAAAAGAGCAAACUUUACAUCAUCUGCCAUCGCCGACCUCCUGUCAGACGAGAAAAUAACGAGGCAGGCUACCCUACAGAACCGUGCAGCAAUUGAUUUUCUGUUACUUUUACAUAAUCAUAAAUGUGAAGAAUUUGCCGGUUUGUGUUGUAUGAAUUUGAGUUCGAAGGCUGAGAACGUCCGGACGACCUUAGAUAAGAUGCAGGACAUGAUGCGCCACCUGAAAAGACAAACAUCAGAUUGGUUGGGGUCGAUAUUUGAAGGAUGGGGACUGGAUGGCUGGGUCCAAUCAAUUGUUAAAACUGGAAUUUAUGUUGUUUUAGCCCUUGUUGUGUUUAUCAUUGGUUUUAGUAUUAUAAAAGGUUUAGUUAUGAAAGAAAUUAAUACCACCAUAGACAUCAAUCACACAGUCCUGGCCACACCGGAAGAGAGAGAACCCUUGAACUGAGAAGAAGAGCAGGAAGAUGGAGAAGUCUGGUACGACGACGAGGCCCAGGACUGCGAAUCCCCAGUUUAAAGACUUUAUGUUCAUGGACUAUUUCAGUUUCCUUCAUUUCUUUUCGUUUAAAACAAAAAAGGGCGAGAUGUGGUGGUGUGUUUUUAUGUUCCUUAAGUUAUAUGAUGUAUUCUUAUUUAAUGUUAU